UUUGCCUGAGAGGCAUUACAGGUGUGGCUGCUCUGUCACGUGCAUCAGUAGGGUGGCAGAGGCAGAAGAGGCCAUGUCUACUCUCAGUGUUCUGAUCUUUGAGCAUCUGAAUGGUUAGUAACUUAACACU